GUCAGGAGUGGUGGUGCAUGCCUGUAAUCCUAGCAACUCAGGAAACUGAGGCAGGAGAAUCACAAGUUCUAGGACAGCUUUAGUAAUUUAGCAAGGCAGUAAGCAACUUAGUAAGACCCUGUCUCAA
rnacentral:sRNA from 1 species